rnacentral:rRNA from 1 species
CCUACGGGAGGCAGCAGUGAGGAAUAUUGGUCAAUGGCCGCAAGCCUGAACCAGCCAAGUAGCGUGAAGGAUGAAUGCCCUACGGAUUGUAAACUUCUUUUAUAAAGGAAUAAAGUGAGGCACGUGUGCCUUUUUGUAUGUACUUUAUGAAUAAGGAUCGGCUAACUCCGUGCCAGCAGCCGCGGUAAUACGGAGGAUCCGAUCGUUAUCCGGAUUUAUUGGGUUUAAAGGGUGCGUAGAUGGGUUGUUAAGUCAGUUGUGAAAGUGUGCGGCUCAACCGUAAGAUUGCAAUUGAUACUGGCAGCCUUGAGUACAGUUGAGGUAGGCGGAAUUCGUGGUGUAGCGGUGAAAUGCUUAGAUAUCGCGAAGAACUCCGAUUGCGAAGGCAGCCUACUAAACUGCCACUGACAUUGAGGCUCGAAAGUGUGGGUAUCAAACAGGAUUAGAUACCCCUGUAGUC